rnacentral:rRNA from 1 species
AACGAACGCUGGCGGCAGGCCUAACACAUGCAAGUCGAGCGCGCCUUCGGGUGAGCGGCGGACGGGUUAGUAACGCGUGGGAACGUACCCUUCUCUACGGAAUAGCCUUUGGAAACGAAGAGUAAUACCGUAUACGCCCUUUGGGGGAAAGAUUUAUCGGAGAAGGAUCGGCCCGCGUUAGAUUAGAUAGUUGGUGGGGUAACGGCCUACCAAGUCUACGAUCUUUAGCUGGUUUUAGAGGAUGAUCAGCAACACUGGGACUGAGACACGGCCCAGACUCCUACGGGAGGCAGCAGUGGGGAAUCUUAGACAAUGGGCGCAAGCCUGAUCUAGCCAUGCCGCGUGAGUGAAGAAGGCCUUAGGGUCGUAAAACUCUUUCGCCAGAGAUGAUAAUGACAGUAUCUGGUAAAGAAACCCCGGCUAACUCCGUGCCAGCAGCCGCGGUAAUACGGAGGGGGUUAGCGUUGUUCGGAAUUACUGGGCGUAAAGCGCACGUAGGCGGACUGGAAAGUUGGGGGUGAAAUCCCGGGGCUCAACCUCGGAACUGCCUCCAAAACUAUCAGUCUAGAGUUCGAGAGAGGUGAGUGGAAUUCCAAGUGUAGAGGUGAAAUUCGUAGAUAUUUGGAGGAACACCAGUGGCGAAGGCGGCUCACUGGCUCGAUACUGACGCUGAGGUGCGAAAGUGUGGGGAGCAAACAGGAUUAGAUACCCUGGUAGUCCACACCGUAAACGAUGAAUGCCAGUCGUCGGCAAGUAUACUUGUCGGUGACACACCUAACGGAUUAAGCAUUCCGCCUGGGGAGUACGGUCGCAAGAUUA